rnacentral:rRNA from 1 species
CGUAAUAGCUCACUGGUCGAGUCGGCCUGCGCGGAAGAUGUAACGGGGCUAAACCAUGCACCGAAGCUGCGGCAGCGACACUGUGUGUUGUUGGGUAGGGGAGCGUUCUGUAAGCCUGUGAAGGUGUACUGUGAGGUAUGCUGGAGGUAUCAGAAGUGCGAAUGCUGACAUAAGUAACGAUAAAGCGGGUGAAAAGCCCGCUCGCCGGAAGAC